ensembl:rRNA 5S_rRNA 5S ribosomal RNA
GCCUACGGCCAUCCACCCUGGUAACGCCCGAUCUCGUCUGAUCUCGGAAGCUAAGCAGGGUCGGGCCUGGUUAGUACUUGGAUGGGAGACCUCCUGGGAAUACCGGGUGCUGUAGGCU